rnacentral:rRNA from 1 species
AGUAGCGGCGAGUGAAGCGGCAAUAGCUCAAAUUUGAAAUCUGGCGCCUUCGGUGUCCGAGUUGUAAUUUGAAGAAGGUAUCUUUGGUUUUGGCUCUUGUCUAUGUUCCUUGGAACAGGACGUCACAGAGGGUGAGAAUCCCGUGCGAUGAGAUGCCCAAUUCCAUGUAAAGUUCCUUCGACGAGUCGAGUUGUUUGGGAAUGCAGCUCUAAGUGGGUGGUAAAUUCCAUCUAAAGCUAAAUAUUGGCGAGAGACCGAUAGCGAACAAGUACUGUGAAGGAAAGAUGAAAAGAACUUUGAAAAGAGAGUGAAAAAGUACGUGAAAUUGUUGAAAGGGAAGGGCUUGAGAUUAGACUUGGAAUUUUCCAUUUUUGGAGCUUUCCGGGCCAGCAUCAGUUUGGAUGGCAGGAUAAUUGCGUUGGAAAGUAACACUACUUCGGUGGUGUAUUAUAGACUUCGUCGAUACUGCCUAUCUAGACUGAGGACCGCGUCUUUGACUAGGAUGCUGGCGUAAUGAUCUUAAGCCGCCCGUCUUGA